rnacentral:rRNA from 1 species
AGAGUUUGAUCCUGGCUCAGGACGAACGCUGGCGGCGUGCUUAACACAUGCAAGUCGAACGGAAAGGCCCUUCGGGGUACUCGAGUGGCGAACGGGUGAGUAACACGUGGGUGAUCUGCCCUGCACUUUGGGAUAAGCCUGGGAAACUGGGUCUAAUACCGAAUAUGACCACGCUCUUCAUGGGGUGUGGUGGAAAGCUUUUGCGGUGUGGGAUGGGCCCGCGGCCUAUCAGCUUGUUGGUGGGGUAAUGGCCUACCAAGGCGACGACGGGUAGCCGGCCUGAGAGGGUGACCGGCCACACUGGGACUGAGAUACGGCCCAGACUCCUACGGGAGGCAGCAGUGGGGAAUAUUGCACAAUGGGCGCAAGCCUGAUGCAGCGACGCCGCGUGAGGGAUGACGGCCUUCGGGUUGUAAACCUCUUUCACCAGGGACGAAGCGCAAGUGGCGGUACCUGGAGAAGAAGCACCGGCCAACUACGUGCCAGCAGCCGCGGUAAUACGUAGGGUGCGAGCGUUGUCCGGAAUUACUGGGCGUAAAGAGCUCGUAGGUGGUUUGUCGCGUUGUUCGUGAAAACUCACAGCUUAACUGUGGGCGUGCGGGCGAUACGGGCAGACUAGAGUACUGCAGGGGAGACUGGAAUUCCUGGUGUAGCGGUGGAAUGCGCAGAUAUCAGGAGGAACACCGGUGGCGAAGGCGGGUCUCUGGGCAGUAACUGACGCUGAGGAGCGAAAGCGUGGGGAGCGAACAGGAUUAGAUACCCUGGUAGUCCAA